rnacentral:misc_RNA from 1 species
UUUCCGUAGGUGAACCUGCGGAAGGAUCAUUAAUGAGUUGUCAUGGGGUUCGAUGCUGGCAGCCAAUUUUUGGAUGCAUGUGCUUGCCCUAACAAUCAUCUUCCAAACACCUGUGCACAUUUUUGAGGGAGUCUUGAGUUGGUUGCCGCUCUUGGGUGAUUUUCUCACAUUCCCUUAAAUCAUUAUACGCUAUUAACAAUGUUGAACGUGCUCUGUGCCGCAAGGCUAUUAAUAUAAUACAACUUUUAACAACGGAUCUCUUGGCUCUCGCAUCGAUGAGAGCGC